GAUGAACGCUGGCGGCGUGCCUAAUACAUGCAAGUCGAGCGAACGGACGAGAAGCUUGCUUCUCUGAUGUUAGCGGCGGACGGGUGAGUAACACGUGGAUAACCUACCUAUAAGACUGGGAUAACUUCGGGAAACCGGAGCUAAUACCGGAUAAUAUUUUGAACCGCAUGAUUCAAAAGUGAAAGACGGUCUUGCUGUCACUUAUAGAUGGAUCCGCGCUGCAUUAGCUAGUUGGUAAGGUAACGGCUUACCAAGGCAACGAUGCAUAGCCGACCUGAGAGGGUGAGCGGCCACACUGGAAAUGAGACACGGUCCAGACUCCUACGGGAGGCAGCAGUAGGGAAUCUUCCGCAAUGGGCGAAAGCCUGACGGAGCAACGCCGCGUGAGUGAUGAAGGUCUUCGGAUCGUAAAACUCUGUUAUUAGGGAAGAACAUAUGUGUAAGUAACUGUGCACAUCUUGACGGUACCUAAUCAGAAAGCCACGGCUAACUACGUG
rnacentral:rRNA from 1 species